CUAAAUGAAAAUCAGAUCAAGGGUCGAGGUGUUGCCACCUCAAUCUCUGUCAUUUGGUCCGAUCAAAAGGCCCUCACUAUAUCAGGGCUCACAAAAUAAUUAUGAGUCAACUAUAUAAAUCUCUUGGAUCUAAAUUGCCUAUCAAAAUUUGCAGAGAAGAGAAGGAAUAGUUAUUUCAUCAGGAAAGUUUCCAACUGUCCUCAAAGGCUUCCAAUAAUCCAUCAUGCUACUGGUAUCAAUCUUCCCUAGCAAUAGAGUAUUGGAAGACUUGUGGACCGUUGAAGACACAUUUCUUUCAUCGAGGUAAAUCGGGUCGAGCCAUCUAUCUAGAUUACAAAAGGUACGUAAAAAGACGAAAUCGAAUGUAUAGCAACAAUAACUACUAUAAAUAAGAUUUUUACUUCAUUUGUGUACCGUAAAGAUAAUUAUUUUCUUGAUGUAUCAAAAUCAAGAGGUUAUGCAAUUUUCUUCUAAUUUCCCCUGUUGAUUUAUGUUAAAAUUACUUCAAAUUAUAGGGUUUUGAUCGUUUUCAUCGAUCUAGAUAAAAUUUAUAAUGUUUUCUAUCCUCUACUGGGUGCGGCAAAUUAAUUAAUUGUAAGUCAAGGGCUCAAAUUAGGGUUUACAAAUGAUUUUCAGGCUGAGCGCAGAUUGAAAAAAUCUGGUGUAAUUAAUAUGUGAUACGUGGAUUUUUCUUCUCUUCUCUCCUCUUCUCUCUCUCUGAAAAUUUUGAUACGUAAAUUGGACAUUUAAAGAUUAGGAUUUAAAGAAACUGAGAUUUUUCGAAUUAUGUUCUCUUCCCUCAUAAAUCAGGUCGAAUCCGAUAAAAAGUUACAUAAAGAGAACUCUGAAAAAUAAAUAAAUUGUACUCUACCAAGUCAAUUUAUGAUAAUUUCUUUUAAACUUCGAAUUACUGCAAUUAGGGUUUCACGCGUAGUAGAAAUCUUGACUAUUUCUACAGCCAUGUUACAACUAAUUAAGCAUUUAACUGUUGGAGUUUUAUUAUUAUUAUUAUUAUUAUUAUUAUUAUUAUUAUUAUUAUUAUUAUUAUUUUUAUUUUUUUUUUUUUUUUGGGAAAUCUGCUGUAAUUUCUUUGGUACAUAGUAAGCAUCGUUUGUAUAUGUGAAUCAUUCGUCAAAAGAAAAAAAAAAAAAAAUGUAAAAAUGCGUAUACAUCUGACAUUUGGUCUAAUGUCCAGUCCAAUCUAAUACUAAAUUUAUAAAUAGGUAUGUAAAAUAUGUAUCUGAAAUGUAUAAAAUAUGAUUUUAUGUUUUGAAAGUUUUUAUAAAUUCUAAAAAGUAUAAUAAUUAAUUAAAGUAAAAAUCUCUAUCCUUCCAGACUUGUGUAUUCUGGUCGAUGAAAACCUUAGACAUUCAUCAACUUCGGCAAAACUCAUAUUUCUUGUUUCUAAUUAGUAUUAACCACAGGUACAUGAUAGAUUAGUUCCAAACACAAAAGCGUCAAGUUAACAACUUUGUAGUAAAUUUAAAAAAUUAUUCACCAAAUUUAUUGUUAGUCAAUAAUUAAUAAAGUUCUUGCAUAUAAACUAUUUGUAUUCCACAAGAAAAAUAGACUAACAUAUACUCCUCUUCUUUAAUUUCGUGUUGCAUGCUCUUUCGAGAAUAAUUUUACAUUUCUUUCAGGAGUUUAUACAAGUUUAUUUAUCUUCUGUUUGGUAGAAAUUUUUUGAAAAUAAAUUUGUAAAAAUUGAAUUUAUUUUUUAUUUUUUGGAGGAUUUAUAACAUACACAGCCCUUAAGUGUCUUGCGCAGACAGAAAACCUAGCUCAAGCCACGUCACAAGUACGAGCUGGAUGCAUAGUAAUUGGUCUCCUGCUUCAAGCUUAGUCAGAGUACUUUUCUCUUGGAAGUAUGGAAUAAAACAAAAGUGAAAUUUCUUUGUUAUCUUCUCUCAGUUCUGGACUUCCUAUGGAGGUUAUGAGAAACUUAUAAAUUAUAAUAGUUUGAUUAUAGUAAUGGCAAGUUCAACAAGGUUUUGGUCCCAACUUCCAAGAGGUUGGAAAGAGCAAGGUCUAAACAAGUGCUACAUAUACUUUCACAAAGAGAUAGACAACCCUUCUCUCUCCCUUUUUUGCAGGAAACUCAUCUCUGAAUUAGCUACGCCAUGUCUAGCAAAUAUAACAAUCCCCAGCCCCCCAAUCGGACAACAUUAGUAAUCUAAGUCUCCAUCAAGGUCCAACUCUGUCUCUUUGUGCCAGUGCCACCGCCUUAUGUGAGCACAAUUUCCUGCGGACUUUCUCAGCCAUCAGAGAGAGAGAGUGGGGCUGGAGCAUGCAAACCCUCCCAUUUCUUCCAUUUCGUGCACUCUUAUUUGCAGAAAGUUGGCAUUCUCUGAACUCUCUCCCUCAGUGGCCCUUUCAUGACUUUAGGUUGAAGGAGAAGCCUUUGAGAUGUGGGGGUUCAGAAAUUGCCAGCCUUCUUACCAGUUUCAACAGUUCAUUAAUAAGCCGCGUGCAGAUAUAUAUACAAAAUUAGUAAGUAUUAAUUUGUUUUAGAAACUUUUAAACUCUAACUUACAUGCUCUAACUCAAUGAUAGAAUCCGAAAAAUAGCCUUUUGUUUUUCUUUGAAAAGUUAUAAUUCAAAAUAUUGUUCUCUGGAUUUCUUCAUCUCUUUUUUCACUUCUAAAGAAUUGGAUUUUGUUAUGUUUUGUACAAAAUAAGAACCCUUGCUACCUGGCAUGACCUCACUACCAAUGCCAGAUGUAAUAUGCUUAAUUUAAAUUUUGUCCAAUUCCUUCCACACAAACAAUAAAACAGUAAUAAUACAACCCUCUUUAUUUGCUACUGUGCAAGUUGAACAAUGUUUUGGUUUAUGGAACUUCGAAGGAUAUUUAGUGUCAACGGGCUUCAUGUUUUUUCAUCCUUUUUCUCAUAUCGGUUGACAAGAGGAUGAUUUGAACCAUCAGAAUCCCUUUUCUAUUCGGAGAAGUUCUUUUCAACGUGCAUUACUCUUUUAUGCCAAUAUAGCAUCUACUUGAAUAGUGGGUAUUUGAAAUUCUAUUUUCCUGAUAUGUAUGGUUAUUUUUGUUGGAAUGUUUUAAACUUUCACAAUAAAUAUUAAUUUUCAUUUUGAUUUCAAUAUUAACUUUUUAUACAAAAUUAAAUCUCAUAAUUUAGGUUGUAACUUAAGAAUAAAAGUUUCAACCUUUCAAAUUAAAACCUCUUAAUUUCAAGUUUUAACAUAAAAUUAAAAUAUCAUAAUACAUAUUAUAACUUAUGCUUUAAUGAUAUAAAUGUGGGGGGUUGAAUUUUCUACUAUAAAAAAAGGUGGAUUUCAUAUCCUUUUUGACACACAAAAAAAUCAAACACAAAAGAUACUCUUUAGUAUUUUCAUACUACUCUCUAAUCAUUUUAUACUAUAUUUCUAAAGUUUGUAGCAACUUGAUGAAAGACUCGUUCAAUUAUCUCUUUAUGGUCGUGCCCAUAGAAGGAGAGCCACAUGAGUUUUAUUUUGGAGCCAUGUAGUACUGAAAGAACCCGCACGAAGGGUGGACAACACAACUUUAAGACAGCGUCCUCUACGUGACUCCCAAGGCUUGAUUUUCUAACUCUCUUCUUAUAUUUAUAUUAUUUUGAAUCAUGUUAAUGUUAUUUAAUUGAAUUGUGCAAAUCAUCAAUUUCCCCUACAAUCUAAAGUCGUGUUGUAUGAUUUGUGAGUAGAUAUUUGGUAUUGUGAUUUUCAAAUAUAAAAUCACAUGUAAGUUCACCAACAGUAGUAAAACCAGCCAUGAACUGUCAUUUAGAUGAUAGAAAUAAAUAUUGGGUCAUGACUGCCAUGGAUAGUUUGGGAGAUUAAUUAUAAGAUUGCUUAAUACUUUUUUAUAUUUAAAGAAUUGAAAUAAUUUGUCAUUUACUUUGCACAUUUUACAUAACCUAAUAGAUUAUAACAACAUACUCUAGAAGAAAUACAUCAAAUAUGAUAGCCUCUUUUUCAUCAAUCAGAAAGAAAAUUUUAGUUAAUUUUCUUCUUCCUAAUAUACGAAUUUUCAUUUCAAGCAUGUAGUUACUUCAUCAUGUUAUGUCGACACCAUUUGAAAUAUAUACGGAAACUGUUAGUAUAAUUUUGUAGAUUUCUGUCUAAUUUUGUUAUGCUUUCCAUCCACAAAUGCAGUAAAACCUCACUUAGCUUGCAAACAAGUUGGAAUUUUGAUAUAAAUGUUCUCAACUCCUAAAAAAAAUAAAAAAUAAUAAAAAAUAAUAAAAUAAAUCUUGGGAGCUUGUAAGCUUAGAUUUUAAUAUUCUACUGAAUGUGAUGAGCUAGAUUAAAUUCAACCUUAGAUCAUGUUUAGCAUCGUUAAUUCUAGCUUGAGCUUGAAAUAUUUUCUAAAGUAUUAGGCUCAGCUUGGUUUGUAAGGACCACUAAUCAAAAAAUUACCCUUUAAGCAUAAUAGUUGAAAGGAACCAUGUCUAGUUGGUACUCUGACAUGUGGUUUAUUAUUCUUCAACAAUUAUUGGCAAGAAAAUCAGUCCUCAAGUCUCGAAGCAUGCUUCGGUUGUUAAAAUUUAAAUAUCCUAAGCCUUCUUGAUUGUGAGAUGUGAUUUUAUUGUGUAUGAGCAUCUGAAAUUGAAAUUGUGCUGAUUAUAAAGUGUACUUAUCUAUAAAAUUUAUUAAAACAUGAUUUUCUUAGAAUAUAUGAUUAAUCUUAAACAACGAUUUAAGUCAAUUAGUGCGCUCUUCAACUUAAGUUUCUGUCAUCUUGAUAUUAGUUCAAUUAUGUGACUUAAAAUAUUGUGCCAUCCUACCAAGAAUUUUUCAAUGCUUUUGCUAAUACAAUAAGAACUUGCUAGUGAUUACUUUAAAUGAGUAAAUUUUCAGUGAAAUUGUAGUAGUACAACGAAUUCUAUUCCAAUUAAAUCAAAUCUUAGUUGCUACUUGUUUAUCUUGUCUAAAAGGAAGUGUACUGCCAUUACCAUCACAUAAGGCUAUGGAGGAAUCUCAUUAUAAUUAGAAUGUGAGUCAGAUGUUUAAAAGUAGAGCUGGUAAUUAUUUUGGAUUAUGUAUGGCAGUUGACUUGGUUUAAGCAUAACAUAAUCAAUAGGGAAAUUAAUUAGAUAAUGACAAACGUAAUUUUGGGUUCUAAAAACAUUGUUUUCAUCAUUAUGGCGACUCAAGAGGAUAACUGUUACAGUAUAGUGUAUUAUGCCAGUUAAAAUUAGGGGCUAAGAAACUAUUGAUUCCUGUCUUUCCUUCUCUAUCUAGUAAAAUUAUACAAGCAUCACAGAUAAUUGUUUUCUCGAAGGUUAAAGAAGAGGCAGUGAUUUGACUUGGGAUACAAAGACAUGUUGCCAUGUAUAAUGCUACUCCAAGUAACAUGUAUAACUGGAAUUAUCUAAAUUGAAGUAUGUUUGCACUUAACCAUGUUAUCAUCCUAAAGAUAAUUUUAUUGUGGGAAAGAAGUUCCAAAAGUUAUGUGGUAUUAAAAACUUUGGAUAUAUGUGUGCUAAAUGAACAUUAACAUCAACUUAAUAUCCCUAAUGAUGAUAAUUAACAAUUUAAUAUAGUCACUCAUAUAUGUGAUGUGUACGUAUGAGUAGGGUAUGCAUUUAUGAUUGAUAUUUGUAUAGUCUCAAUCGACUAUAAAAAUCAAUGUUAUAUUUGUGACAUAUGAAUAUUGGUACCUCAUUUGGAAAUGAAUUAUUGUGUUUAAAUUAAAUUUAAAGAAAUCAUAUCUUUGAAAUGUGUGGGUAUUUAAAAAUUUCAAAUAGAUGCACCGUACAUUGUGUAAAACUGACUUUUGAAAGUGCAUAAAUAAGACUAGAGACACGGAGGUCAAAUACAAGAGUUGAAUGGAUGCACAUGUUCAAACAUGUGAUUAGAAGUCAAUUUUAAGUUUAACUAUUUAUCUUAUUAUACUUAACGUGACUUUAAUAUUUUGAAAUGUUUUAGAAGAUUUUGCAGAUGUACUGAUGUGCAAGCAGAAAAUAAGAGUUUGCAAAUAUUAUGGUACCAAAUUAUUGUCCAAGAGGGACACGAAUAUAUUGAAAUCCAUGGAUAUAUAUAUAUAUAAAUCAUUGAAGUGGAUGAGUUUAAGUCCAUAAGGGAGUCACCUCCGAAAGUAACCCAAGUUUUGUGAUUGGAGAUCCCAUGAAGAAGGUUCAAUGUGGUAGAAACAACCCAUACUACAUGACUUGUAUAGCACUAUCUUAUUUGUGCUUAUCCCUAUGGUGAUAUAGUGCUAAUAAUAAUGUGAUGUUAGGAAGGGUUUAACCCUAAAUGAGUACCGAGGCGAGAAUUCUCAUGAGAUGUGAGUCACACGCACUCUUGAAGGACUCACUUAUGUAAGAGUUGCCAUGAGAGCGUGACUAUGGAAUUGGGUUAUUCUCUAGAGACUCUUACUAGAAUUAAAAUUAGAGUGCAUGACCAUUAAUAGCUCUAAUCGUUAUGAACUGAGCCUAAAUCGAUACUGUGAGUAGAACAAUUGUAAUUUGACCAAAGAGACCUAAUUCAAGGGUUAGUCCAUUAUGGCUCUUUCAAAUGGAAAUUGUUAUCACUAAGUGAGAUUCAAGUCCAAAACACACCUACACCUAUUACAUAGUAUAACCACUACAGCAAAAAUGACCUCUUGCAACAUGUAAAAGGCAACAUCCGUGAAUUAAAUGUUGCUAAAGGGGUCAAUGGCAACAUUCAUUCAAAUACGUGAAUGUUGCCAUUGCUUAAUAUAAUUGAGCUUUGGCAACAUUUUUUAAGUGAAUGUUGUCAAUGCCACCUUUUUGCAACGUUUAUUUAGUGUUGCGAAAAAUUUUACCUUUCGCAACGUUUAUGAAAUAUUUCAAAAAGUUGUCUUUCACAACGUUUAUAAAACGCUGCAAAAAACUAUCUUUCGCAACAUUGUAGAAAACGUUGAAAAACUUUCUUUUGCAACGUUUCAAAAACCUUUUUUUUGCAACGUUUAUGAAACGUUGCAAAAGUUUUGACUUGCAACAUUUAUGAAACGUUGUAAAAGCUGUUAAAAUAUUUACCCAACCCAACUUAUAUAUUCAAUAUCCACAAUCCAUAAACCUAAAAUUCCCAAAAUCUAAACUUCAGUCCGG
rnacentral:lncRNA from 1 species